AUUGAACGCUGGCGGCAGGCCUAACACAUGCAAGUCGAACGAGUGGCGGACGGGUGAGUAAUGUCUGGGAAACUGCCUGAUGGAGGGGGAUAACUACUGGAAACGGUAGCUAAUACCGCAUACUAUCGGAUGUGCCCAGAUGGGAUUAGCGAGUGGGUGGGGUAAAGGCUCACCUAGGCGACGAUCCCUAGCUGGUCCGAGAGGAUGACCGGCCACACUGGAACUGAGACACGGUCCAGACUCCUACGGGAGGCAGCAGUGGGGAAUAUUGGGCAAUGGGCGAAAGCCUGAGGCAGCCAUGCCGCGUGUAUGAAGAAGGCCUUCGGGUCGUAAAAUACUUUCAUCGGGGAGGCGUUACCCGCAGAGGAAGCACCGGCUAACUCCGUGCCAGCAGCCGCGGUAAUUC
rnacentral:rRNA from 1 species